UUGUCAUGCCAAUGGCACUGCCCGGUAGCUAAAUGCGGAAGAGAUAAGUGCUGAAAGCAUCUAAGCACGAAACUUGCCCCGAGAUGAGUUCUCCCUGACCCUUUAAGGGUCCUGAAGGAACGUUGAAGACGACGACGUUGAUAGGCCGGGUGUGUAAGCGCAGCGAUGCGUUGAGCUAACCGGUACUAAUGAACCGUGAGGCUUAACCUUACAACGCCGAAG
rnacentral:rRNA from 3 species